UGUAUUAGUAGGACUUAUACCCUAACUACAAAUGCUUACAAUAUUUUGCGGUGUUUGGUUAGUUUUAUUGGACAUACAGGACAGUCGUGUACGGCACUUGUCAAUUAUUUCCUACUUAUUAAUUAGUAAUAAUGAAUUUCUAUUGGCUUUUCACAAAAUGUACAGGUUUUCAUUUUUUUAGUAACCAACAGUGAUAAUAAAUAUAAAUAACUUUAUUGUUGGUUAUACGUAUCGAACCUUCAUGCCGUACACUUAUUUCGUGCCACAACCGGAAAAAAAUGAGCAAAAGGUUGAGCGUUAAGCGUGACUAUAAUUUGUUUAAUGUGUAGUGUAAAAUUGGUAAAUAUAACAUGCCCCAUAAAUGUGACCCGCAAUAGUAACUGCAAUGUACAGGUUGUUGUUGUUAUUGAUCUA